CAAAAACGGUGCUUACAUCAGCAACGUCUUUGAAAGUACGCAUUUUAAGACGGUGCUUAUAUCAGCAACGUCUUAGAAUGUCUACUUUCAAAGACGUUGUUGAGGUAAGCACUGUCUUA
rfam:Glycine soja cultivar W05 scaffold4751_1, whole genome shotgun sequence.